rnacentral:lncRNA from 1 species
CGUGUUUCUCCGUAUACUCUACACGACAUAUUCAUCUCGUGAGCAUAUAUUUUUACGCAAUUAUUUUUUUUCUUAUUCAAUUUAUGGUACGAAAGUGUUAGAUUACCUUAUUAAAUAACUUAUUACGUCAUUUUUAGUCGUAUUUGAAGCUUUCGGUGAAAAAAUUGAAAAUUAUUGUUUUUAUUCGAUAAGACGAUCGAACUAUGAGUCAUAUCAGAACUUGUCUCUUCCCCCACACAAAACUGUAGAUAUUGUGUUGAAAUACGUAAUUAUCUAAUCUUUUCCGUGUACUAUACCCGAAAAUGGCAGCCGGAAAUUUUUUCAUGAUAUUCGACCCUAUAACCACUUCCAAUGUCUUAUCCGACGUAAUAUAUUGUAAGUUCUUAUCCCAUAUCACCCCAUAUGAUAGCAAAAUUCAUAUCAGCGACAACAAUUCUACAAUUUAUUAAUAUUAUGCCAGUAGGUAUUCGAAAGUGUACCAGACCGCAUCUCGAACCUCAAUAAUGCCACUUUAUUUUGCUUUUUUUGUUUAAAAGUGUUUAUUUUAUACACGAACUCGUUAUCGUUCCAAAUGUUAUACGCUCUGUUCGAUUAAAUUAUUUUUCGAGUCAUUAUCAGAUACUUAUUCGACAAACACACUAUGGUAUUAUUAAU